rnacentral:rRNA from 1 species
GGCCUACCAUGGUGGUAACGGGUAACGGGGUGUUAGGGCACGACACCGGAGAGGGAGCCUGAGAAACGGCUACCACAUCCAAGGAUGGCAGCAGGCGCGCAAAUUACCCAAUCCCGACACGGGGAGGUAGUGACAAUAAAUAACAAUACGGGGUUCUUUCGGAUCUCGUAAUUGGAAUGAGUACAAUUUAAAUCUCUUAACGAGGAACAAUUGGAGGGCAAGUCUGGUGCCAGCAGCCGCGGUAAUUCCAGCUCCAAUAGCGUAUAUUAAAGUUGUUGCAGUUAAAAAGCUCGUAGUUGAAUUUCGGGGUCAGCAGGUCGGUCGUGCCACUGGUAUGAACUGGCCUCGCUGAUCCCUCCCUCUUGACGAACUGUGAUGCCAUUAAUUUGGUGUCGCAGGGAAUCAGGACUGUUACUUUGAAAAAAUUAGAGUGUUUAAAGCAGGCUCACGCUUGAAUACAUUAGCAUGGAAUAAUGAAAUAGGACGUUUGAUCCUAUUUUGUUGGGUUUCUAGGAUUGACGUAAUGAUUAAUAGGGAUAGUUGGGGGCAUUAGUAUUCAAUUGUCAGAGGUGAAAUUCUUGGAUUUAUUGAAGACUAACUACUGCGAAAGCAUUUGCCAAGGAUGUUUUCAUUAAUCAAGAACGAAAGUUAGGGGAUCGAAGACGAUCAGAUACCGUCGUAGUCUUAACCAUAAACUAUGCCGACUAGGGAUCGGAUGAUGUUAAUUUUUUAAUGACUCAUUCGGCGCCUUACG